GCUUGUCCUAGGCCACAUGCAGAUCACUUCAAAGUGGGCAGAAGUCUUAAUGUGAGAGCUGCGUCUAAAACCUCCGAGGGACUCGGCCUCUUCCUUUUCUUCCCUGUGCUUCCUAGCUCCACCAGGUGAGCCACUUGCCACUGUGCACUCCCAUGGUGACCGUGGUCUCCCCCCAGGCCCAAGAGCACCAGGGCAACGACCAUGCACUGAAGCCUGCCAACAGUGAGCCAGAGUGAACCUUUUGUCUUUCUAAGCUGAUGACCUCAGAUGUUUGUCACAGUCAUGGAAAGCAACGCAAGUACCAAGGGGGGCUGGAGGGGACCAACCCCAAAGUGUGUGUCUUAGUGGAGGGUUGCAUGGAACACCCCAGAACCAAGUCAGGGACAGCACCCUGACAGCCGCCCACAUGGCUGCAUCCUAGCCCGUCCCCCUCCCUCCAGAAGGAACCCAGCGGCUCGGAGGCCGAGUCACCCCACACAGCCACGGGCCAGCCUCGGUGCCUCUCGAGGGUUGGCCGGCUCCCCCGCCCCUGUCCUUUCCUUGGACUCUCUCAGUUGC
rnacentral:lncRNA from 1 species